GACGAACGCUGGCGGCGUGCCUAAUACAUGCAAGUCGAGCGGACUAGAGGGAGCUUGUCCCCAAAGGUCAGCGGCGGACGGGUGAGUAACACGUGGGUAACCUGCCUGACAGACUGGGAUAACGCUUGGAAACGAGUGCUAAUACCGGAUAGGCUGCUUGGUCGCAUGAUCGAGCAGGGAAAGAGGCUAUCGCCUCACUGUUAGAUGGACCCGCGGCGCAUUAGCUAGUUGGUGAGGUAACGGCUCACCAAGGCGACGAUGCGUAGCCGACCUGAGAGGGUGACCGGCCACACGGGGACUGAGACACGGCCCAGACUCCUACGGGAGGCAGCAGUAGGGAAUCUUCCACAAUGGGGGCAAGCCUGAUGGAGCAACGCCGCGUGAGUGAUGAAGGCCUUCGGGUUGUAAAACUCUGUCUUCUGUGACGAAACAGCCUGUGAGUGGAAAACUCAGGCCCUGACGGUAACAGAGGAGGAAGCCACGGCUAACUACGUGCCAGCCGCCGCCGUAAUAC
rnacentral:rRNA from 1 species